UACAGAGGUCCCAAGCGUUGUCCGGAUUGACUGGGCGUAAAGCGCACGCAGGCGGUCGGGCGCGUGGGGUGUGAAAUCUGGCCGCUUAACGGCCAGGCGCCAUCCCAUACGGCUCGACUGGAGUGAUGCAGAGGUCGAUGGAAUUGCCGGUGUAGUGGUGAAAUGCGUAGAGAUCGGCAGGAACACCCAGGGGGAAACCAGUCGACUGGGCAUCUACUGACGCUGAGGUGCGAGAGCGUGGGGAGCGAACCGG
rnacentral:rRNA from 1 species